GCAACACUGGUGAUGUUGUUUGUUGCUGCCGUUAAUCGUAUUUUGGCGGCGUGGGCGGUGAGGGAUUCUUCGUUGUUGCUGCCAUGUAUUGACAAAAAAUAAACAAUUAAGGUCGCUGUCGAGCAUGACGGGCGCCGAGAUGGCAGAGGAUCAAAGACGGCGGCACAAAGCACGAGAUCACGGGUUUUCGUUUGAGUUGUUUGUUGCUGAUGCGGCUGCUGUGGAAAAUUAUGAAGACGACGCUAUUAUUCACUGUUGGCGUUGGUGGGCGUCGAUGGCGAUUUCAGUGACGCUGGCAAUAAUGGGGAACUCAGCCACAAGGGGAUCCUAAAAAAUCGGAUAGAGUACGGGAGCGUUGCAAAGAAGACCAAGGGAAGGAAGCCAAUAUGUGGGAGAGAUGGGCCGCGUGAGGCGUAGAGAAGGUCAGUCAAACCUGAAGGGAAGCAACUUUAAUUGACUUGGAAGGGAUUUCCAGAAAUAAAAAGUCGUAGCGUGCAUGCGCAGUGCAAAAAUUUAGUCUGAGCUUAAGCUCAGAUUUUAUACAUGAUGCCCAAUGUCUAACAGGGAAUUAACGGACUUAAUGUCACAGAAAUUUACGAAGAAGAAGUAAUCAGAACCACGCUGGAAUUCAGUGGCAGUGGUGUUGUAAACUUGGCUUGAGUGCACCAGUUUCUUCGAAACCAGAAUCGGAUUAAAUGAAAACACUUCACAAAAUCUUUAACCGAUGUCCAGCUUUAUGGCAGGAGUGCCAACUGCCAAUGCACCGGAAGAAUAGGUACUAACUAGCCUUCCCACGCUACCACAUGUAGCUGCGGGAGUCUACUCAGAGAAACUCAGUGUCUCGGCCUCCAAAACUGGGUAAAGGUUCAAGGAUCUUCUUGGCGGAAGUUCUAGCAAUAUCGAAGGCAUUGACAGAGUUCAUGAAUUAGUAAAACCUGGAGCCUAUUUGGGGAACUCUGACCUGAUUAGAUCAAGGACAGAAAAAUUCAGAAAGCGGCAACAACAGGCCUUCUCUAUAAUAAAAUUUAGCGAGGUUGUUAAC